rnacentral:rRNA from 1 species
GACGAACGCUGGCGGCGUGCUUAACACAUGCAAGUCGAACGGAAAGGCCCUGCUUUUGUGGGGUGCUCGAGUGGCGAACGGGUGAGUAACACGUGAGUAACCUGCCCUUGACUUUGGGAUAACUUCAGGAAACUGGGGCUAAUACCGGAUAGGAGCUCCUGCUGCGUGGUGGGGGUUGGAAAGUUUCGGCGGUUGGGGAUGGACUCGCGGCUUAUCAGCUUGUUGGUGGGGUAGUGGCUUACCAAGGCUUUGACGGGUAGCCGGCCUGAGAGGGUGACCGGCCACAUUGGGACUGAGAUACGGCCCAGACUCUUACGGGAGGCAGCAGUGGGGAAUAUUGCACAAUGGGCGGAAGCCUGAUGCAGCAACGCCGCGUGCGGGAUGACGGCCUUCGGGUUGUAAACCGCUUUCGCCUGUGACGAAGCGUGAGUGACGGUAAUGGGUAAAGAAGCACCGGCUAACUACGUG